GGGGCGGUGCCGGGGGCUGUGAGCGUCUGGGCAGGUGCUGGAUGAGGGCGGCCUCUGCUGGAACUCCGCUGCGGGGAGGAGGACGCUGAGGAGGCGCCGAGCCGCGCAGCGCUGCGGUGAGGUGCCCAAGCGGACGCGGGGCCUAUGGCCAGGACCACCAGCCAGCUGUUUCUCAAGUCUUCGACCCGGAAGAGGUGGCAGACAUCAUCAACUACAAAUGAGGAGGACACGGAGGCCCAGACACCAGAGGCUUGUCCCAGGCACCAGACGCGCAGAGCGGCGCUGUGACCUCACACAACAGCCGUGCGGCACACGUACAGGACUGUCAGCUGGUUCCGAGUCAGUUGUACCUACAGGAGGCCCCUCGAUGCUCCGUGUGCACCCGGAGAUCUGAAACCUUCCAGCACAUUUGGACAAUAAAAGGAAGGCAAGGGCUCUGGGCAGAGACGGGAUGCAUGUGCCAGGGCUCUGGGUCUAUUCUGACCCACAGCGCUGCCCCUGGACACCUCCCCUGGACACAAAGCCCCUCAGACAUCAGGACCCUGACCGCCAGCCUGGCUCCUCAGCCCCUGACGGACACCAUUCAAAGGACUGCAGCUUAGCCAAACAGGGACGGACUCACAGACGGAGAGCAGGUGACAGCUUAUGGGACGGUGGAGGUUACGGGGUGGAGGGAUUCAUCGAAAAGGAAGGAGGACGCAUAGACAACAAUGUGCUGAUUGCUGCGGGGAGGGGGGUAUAAGGGGACUAAAUGGUAAUGGGAGAAAUACAAUAAAGCUCAAGUAAAAAUGAUUAAAAAACACUAUUGUUGCUUAGAAA